CCGGAGCGAGAGGCGCUUCAGAGAAGGAGGGACCGAUCUGCAGGAGCCGGCCGCCCAGCGGAGCUGCAGUCGCCGCCGCCGCUGCUGCCGCUGCUGUCGCUGUCAGAGCCCGUCCGAAGAGUGACACCUUCGCGAAAAACAGGAGCUACGAAACAGUUGCACACGCAGUCUUCGGAUCUCCGGUCACCAUUCAUGAGCCCGAGGCUGUGAGACAUGUUCCAUGUGCCAAGGGGAGUUCUCACCAAAUCUUCUGAGGCUGUCCUAGACAUACGCUGUUCGGACUGAGUCAGCAUUACCAGCUUAUCCAAGAGAAGUACCAUCCUAUUCAUUAACAACGUCGAAAGUAGCCUACUUUAAGAGGAAAUAUGCAGAAGAAGAAGAUUUACAUCAAGAUUACCAUGGGUGUUUUCCAAAACACUUGAUAUUACCCGAAGACAGGACCUGUAUCCUCAAGCUUUCCCUGGAGAAGCUCAGGUUUCUUGAAGACCCAGAAACCUACUUAAGAAGGUCUGUGUUAAUUAACAAUUUGCUGAGGAAGAUACACCUAGAGACGGAGAAAGAGAGCUAUGAAUACUUUAAGGAAUCUCCCUCCUAUAAGACUGCUUAUUCGGAUACAAGAAAACGGCUGAAGUUUAUGGUACAGGAGUGCUGUUCCCAGUCUCUCUACUAUGAAGAGCUGCAUUCCUACCACAUUGUGCCUUAUACUUCGGAGAACCCCAUCUACGGGAUGGGCUACACUGGUGACCACUUGGAGCAAAAUUCUCAGUUGCUUAUUUAUAAAAUGAAUUAAAGUAACUGUUAAGUUCAUUGAUAUUUUGUUUCUACAUGCCUGAACUGUUUAUAGUGAAGAUGUUAAUAUAAGACACUAAUUGCCAGUGCACUUGAUCUCAGUGAUGAGAUGCAUGCCGAACCGAGGGGAGAGAACCAUGGGUAUUACCCAGCAAUCCUUAGUGCCAUCUUGUUGAAUGGAAAAUAUACCCACUUUAUCAUAAAGCAGUGAAUUGAUACAUUAGGAGAAAAAGGUUUUUUUAAUUUGUUUUUUGAGAUAGGAAGAGAUUGAUCUCUAGUCAAUCUGUUAGGUUAAAAUUCUUAAGUCACCCCCCCCACUUAAAUUCUGCCACUCUUAUUGAAAGUAUAUAUAUAUAUAUAUAUAUAUAUAUAUAUAUAUAUAUAUAUAUAUAUAUAUAUAAUUGAUAAUGCUGUGGCCCUGAGGAUGAGGGGUAGAAUUAAUCUAAUUUUAUUUACACAGUGAAAGUUCUGUCCUUUCAGAAAUUCUUUGACUUGUCAAACACUGUGCCAAAUGGUUUGUCGUUAGUAUCCUUUAACCAUGUGUUAAAGAUGGGGCCAGCAUAGCAUAUACUGAAGCUUCCUUGCUCAGUGUAGCAACUGGGUUACCCCAAGCUCAUCCACUUUCUUCUUUUUGUUGAUUAUUCUUAAUCUAAACAGACUUUCUCUUUAAGAAUGAAAUGUAAUAGAUAAGCAUCGCAUAUAGGAUCAUCUUUAAGUUGUAUGGGUUGGUUAAAAUUUGUGCUGGGCCUUUAAGAGUUUAAAUUUUAUUUAUGAUCUUACUUUUUUUUUUAUAGGCUGUGAAGCUCAGGAAAGGGUAGGCAGGCAAAAUAUGUUUUUAAUAGGAUAAUAAUUUUUUUUAAAAAACCUGCUCUGGAAAGUUGGCGAGAAUAAUAGAAUUUAGACGUGUUGUUAUUUCUUCAUCCCGCUAAGAGCUCACGGAAGGUACCGGGAUGAAACACUGCACUGAUUUUUGAACAGUAGUCGAUCACUUACCACGUCACAAAAUGUCUGAGAAUGCCUUUGGGGAGAGAUGUGGAUAAGUUCUUACGUUUUACAGUUCUAAGGGUGAAGAUGUAACACGUUGGAUAGGUUUAUGAAGUUGUUGGGAGUGAUUCAUCGUGUUCUGGAGGUGUGAGUGAGACGUCUGACCUCAGGGUCUGAAGCUUUUGUCCUGUGGAGUAUUUCAUUUAAAGAACUGUUAUUGAUAAAAACAGAUUGGGAAAACUAGGUGCCAAAGGUGUAUCAAGAAAAUACCAAAGACUCAAAGAUGAGUGUUAGGGAGACUAUGAUAGUGAAGGCCAGCCAAGACAAGGUUCUGAUCCAAGGACUGCAUGGGUAAUGUGGAAACAUUGUUAAGGGCUUCAUAACGACUCGUUUACUGGUGUGCUUCCUAGUGCUUUGUUCAGAAUGAUGGCCCACAGGAAUAGGAUGCUAAAUUCAGAUAUCAAGCUUUCGUAAUGCAAAUAUGGCAACUGUCAGCACAGUGUCAUCCCUAGCUGAAGAGCUGCCUUGUAACCAGGCUGGCUGCAUCUUCCUUUGCUUUUAUUUUUGGUACCACAUUUGGUCCCUAUGACAAAUCACCAAGGUGAUUUUGCACUAAGGACAUGGGCUCUCUAACCAGAUUGCGCUGUGCAAGACUACCAAGAUACACAAUAGGUCCAAGUGUUGAGUUUAUAUUUAAUUGCUCAAUGAACAUUAUGAAAAGUGCUUUAGAAUAAAGUACAAUGUGUAAUAAGAGGCAAAGGCAUACAGACAAGUUAGUGUGAUCGGCGAGAUGCCUUUGAAAUCCAUAUAGGAAUAUUUAAAAAUUAGUUGGAGAGUAAGAUUUGGCACAAAAGUUUAAUAGUUUUAUUUCAUUGCUUAUGGAAGACCCCAUUUCUCAGAAAACUCCUUCCAAAAAUAUAGAUUUAUUUAAAAAUGAGUCUAGUCCCAAACUCCAAAUUUGAUAGGAUAAUUAUGCCAUCAUAAGUCUAAAAAUGGAAUCAGUUAUCUGAUGACUUUUAAAUUGUUACUGAAAGAACACCUGGCAUGACUUACAAUAGCCCCUCUAGGAAGAGGCCACCAAUGCUAACCGGUAUGACAUUUUUAAAAAAACACAUGUUAAAAUUGGUUAAAUAUAGAAAUACACAUAUUUGGGGAUAGAAGAGAAAAAAAAUCAUCAAGAAAGUGUAAAUUUGUAAUAUUUCCUGUAUGUCAGAAACCUUAAUCAAAGCCAGAACUCUGGGACAAAGAACCAGUAACAGAUGUAAAAAUUCAUUUUAUUUCAAGACAUCAUUACCGGAGCGCUUUGAUCUACACAUUCUUAUAUAAGCUGUCUUAGAAGCCAGUGGUAUUUGUGAUUCUACUUUUAUUUAAAUAUGCAUUGAUUUAAAAACGAAUUAUUUAAAAAUACCUUUUAGUGCAAAUAAUUUCCCCCAAUAAACUGCUCAUAGAUAAGGA